rnacentral:rRNA from 1 species
CCUACGGGUGGCUGCAGUGAGGAAUAUUGGUCAAUGGACGAGAGUCUGAACCAGCCAAGUAGCGUGAAGGAUGACUGCCCUAUGGGUUGUAAACUUCUUUUAUAUGGGAAUAAAAUGUUCCACGUGUGGGAUUUUGUAUGUACCAUAUGAAUAAGGAUCGGCUAACUCCGUGCCAGCAGCCGCGGUAAUACGGAGGAUCCGAGCGUUAUCCGGAUUUAUUGGGUUUAAAGGGAGCGUAGGUGGGUUGUUAAGUCAGUUGUGAAAGUUUGCGGCUCAACCGUAGUAAGCCAUUGAAACUGGGGGACUUGAGUGCAGGAGAGGAAAGUGGAAUUCGUGGUGUAGCGGUGAAAUGCGUAGAUAUUAGGAAGAACACCAGUUGCGAAGGCGGCUCACUGAACUGUAACUGACAUUGAUGCACGAAAGCGUGGGGAGCAAACAGGAUUAGAUACCCGUGUAGUC